GCGGUGAAGGAUGAGCCCGCGGCCUAUCAGCUUGUUGGUGAGGUAGUGGCUCACCAAGGCGACGACGGGUAGCCGGCCUGAGAGGGCGACCGGCCACACUGGGACUGAGACACGGCCCAG
rnacentral:rRNA from 1 species